UGGGCAACCUGCCCUCAGCUCUGGGAUAACUCCAAGAAAUUGGGGCUAAUACCGGAUGUGACCGCUGACCGCAUGGUCUGGUGGUGGAAAGAUUUAUCGGCUGGGGAUGGGCCCGCGGCCUAUCAGCUUGUUGGUGAGGUAACGGCUCACCAAGGCUUCGACGGGUAGCCGGCUGAGAAGGCGACCGGCCACACUGGGACUGAGAUACCGGCCCAGACUCCGUACGGGA
rnacentral:rRNA from 1 species